UUCCGUAGUUGAACCUGGGGAGGGAUCAUUACCGAGUUUACAACUCCCAAACCCCUGUGAACAUACCACUUGUGGCCUCGGCGGAUCAGCCCGCUCCCGGUAAAACGGGACGGCCCGCCAGAGGACCCCUAAACUCUGUUUCUAUAUGUAACUUCUGAGUAAAACCAUAAAUAAAUCAAAACUUUCAACAACGGAUCUCUUGGUUCUGGCAUCGAUGAAGAACGCAGCAAAAUGCGAUAAGUAAUGUGAAUUGCAGAAUUCAGUGAAUCAUCGAAUCUUUGUGCGCUCGUUGGGGAUACCAGUCUUGUGCCCGGCAAGCCAGUUCGAGAAUCAUAUCAACCUUCAAGCACAGCUUGGUGGUGGGACUCGCGUUAAUUCGCGUUCCCCAAAUUGAUUGGCGGUCACGUCGAGCUUCCAUAGCGUAGUAGUAAAACCCUCGUUACUGGUAAUCGUCGCGGCCACGCCGUUAAACCCCAACUUCUGAAUGUGACCUCGGAUCAGGUAGAAAUUCCGUUUCUU
rnacentral:rRNA from 1 species